GAGUCCUCGCGUUGAGUCGGGCGUAGAGUUUGGAGUAUUCCCUUUUUGAACUUAGAGUUUGUAAAUCUUAAGUUUGGGGGAGUUAAGGGAUGAAUAUGCCUUUCUAAAAAAAAAAAAAAAAAAAAAAAAAAGUACAUCAAGUACUCCUUUGAGAUCAUGGGUAGAAUGCAAUGUCAUGUGAAAGGGACGAUUCAUGUACUUGUGCUGGUAUUAAGUGCAUAUGUAUUAGAAUAAGCAAAUUCUUGGUGACCUUUCACAACCUUUGAUUACUGGAGAAUUACUUGAUCUAAAAAAAAAUAAGAAAAAAAAUAGAAUAAGCGAAGUCGAAUGGCGGUCGUGACUCACUUGCACUGAGAAGCGUCCCAACCUUAGACUUAGCAAGAAAAAAAAUAGAAAAAAAUAGGAGAGGCAUAGGAAUUCUUUAGUGACCCUAAAUUGUAGUUGACUCUUUAGUAAAGAAGUGUUUAAACCUGAUUCUGAUUAACGGCUCAUAGUGAGGACUCUGUUGAAGUUUGAUGGUCUUUGUUUUGUUUCACUAGAGAGCAUGCUAGCACACACGAUGCACUUCACACUUGUAGUGGAAGAGGACAUGGCUAAUAUGUGAAAAAGAUGAAUGCCGAGAAUGUUGCAUAUUCUGAGGAUGCUAUGUUAACAAGGAUUACACUUCAUGAUUCGAUUAGAUGUAGGCAUUUAGUUGCAUUCAUGCAUUGCGUUAGUAGUUUUUGUGUGUGUGUCUAUGCUUGAGGACAAG
rnacentral:lncRNA from 1 species